rnacentral:rRNA from 1 species
GAUGAACGCUAGCGAUAGGCUUAACACAUGCAAGUCGAGGGGCAGCAUGGUCUUAGCUUGCUAAGACUGAUGGCGACCGGCGCACGGGUGCGUAACGCGUAUGCAACUUGCCUCACAGAGGGGGAUAACCCGUCGAAAGACGGACUAAUACCGCGUACACUCUAUUUUGGGCAUCCAAGGUAGAGGAAAUGAAAUUCGCUGUGAGAUAGGCAUGCGUCCCAUUAGCUAGUUGGUGAGGUAACGGCUCACCAAGGCGACGAUGGGUAGGGGAACUGAGAGGUUGAACCCCCACACUGGUACUGAGACACGGACCAGACUCCUACGGGAGGCAGCAGUGAGGAAUAUUGGUCAAUGGGCGAGAGCCUGAACCAGCCAAGCCGCGUGAAGGAUGACUGUCUUAUGGAUUGUAAACUUCUUUUGUAGGGGAAUAAAGAGGGGCACGUGUGCCCCAGUGAAUGUACCCUACGAAUAAGCAUCGGCUAACUCCGUG